CUCUGAGACUAAAAAGAUAUUUUGCCCUAUAUCUUCUCUAAAUUUGACAACGACAGUAUCAUUAUAUUAAUUAUUAAUUUCAGGUACGCGAGUAUUAUAGAAAAGUCCUUUCGCGACUUCCUUCUCUUACAAUUAUUGGGAUACUGGGUCAGCUUAGUUUUACAGGGACGCGAACUUAUUUUGUACGUUCGACACAGCAACAUCCAUGGCAGUGUUACGUGCAUCUUAUACGUGCUCACGAUUAUGUACUACAUUUUCAUAUAUUGCUACGUUAGCGAGUGCAUCAUCGAGAGGAGCGAAAAUAUUGCAACGAUAGCGCAUGACCUGGAAUGGCUAAGUUUCCCGCGGGAUACUAAUCUGCCUAUCAUAGUAGCACGCGCAAGAAUACCCUGCAAGCUUACCGCAGGAAGAUUUCUUACCUUAUCCUUCCACUGCUAC